rnacentral:rRNA from 1 species
UACGAAGGGGGCUAGCGUUGCUCGGAAUUACUGGGCGUAAAGCGCACGUAGGCGGAUUGUUAAGUCGGGGGGUGAAAUCCUGGAGCUCAACUCCAGAACUGCCUUCGAUACUGGCGAUCUCGAGUUCGGGAGAGGUGAGUGGAACUGCGGAGUGUAGAGGUGAAAUUCGUAGAUAUUCGCAAGAACACCGGUGGCGAAGGCAGGUCUCUGGGCAUUAACUGACGCUGAGGAGCGAAAGCAUGGGGAGCGAACAGG